rnacentral:rRNA from 1 species
UGGGGAAUUUUGGACAAUGGGGGAAACCCUGAUCCAGCCAUCCCGCGUGUGCGAUGAAGGCCUUCGGGUUGUAAAGCACUUUUGGCAGGAAAGAAACGUCGCGGGUUAAUACCCCGCGAAACUGACGGUACCUGCAGAAUAAGCACCGGCUAACUACGUGCCAGCAGCCGCGGUAAUACGUAGGGUGCAAGCGUUAAUCGGAAUUACUGGGCGUAAAGCGUGCGCAGGCGGUUCGGAAAGAAAGAUGUGAAAUCCCAGAGCUUAACUUUGGAACUGCAUUUUUAACUACCGGGCUAGAGUGUGUCAGAGGGAGGUGGAAUUCCGCGUGUAGCAGUGAAAUGCGUAGAUAUGCGGAGGAACACCGAUGGCGAAGGCAGCCUCCUGGGAUAACACUGACGCUCAUGCACGAAAGCGUGGGGAGCAAACAGGAUUAGAUACCCUGGUAGUCCACGCCCUAAACGAUGUCAACUAGCUGUUGGGGCCUUCGGGCCUUGGUAGCGCAGCUAACGCGUGAAGUUGACCGCCUGGGGAGUACGUCGCAAGAUUAAAAACUUAAAUGAAAUUGACGGGGGUCAUAGCUGUUUCCCU